GAUGAAGAACGCAGCGAAAUGCGAUAAGUAAUGUGAAUUGCAGAAUUCAGUGAAUCAUCGAGUCUUUGAACGCACAUUGCGCCCCCUGGUAUUCCGGGGGGCAUGCCUGUCCGAGCGUCAUUGCUGCCCUCAAGCACGGCUUGUGUGUUGGGCCUCCGUCCUCCUCCCGGGGGACGGGCCCGAAAGGCAGCGGCGGCACCGCGUCCGGUCCUCGAGCGUAUGGGGCUUCGUCACCCGCUCUUGUAGGCCCGGCCGGCGCUUGCCGACACAUCAAUCUUUUUUCCAGGUUGACCUCGGAUCAGGUAGGGAUACCCGCUGAACUUAAGCAUAUCAACAAGCGGAGGA
rnacentral:misc_RNA from 1 species